CAAAAGUUUGGUCCUAGCUUUUCUAUCAAAUGUUUCUUAAAUUAUACAUGCAAGUCUCAGCACACCAGUGAGGACGCCCUUAACCUCUACCCCAGUCACAGGAGCCGACAUCAGGCACAGAACCUCUGCCCACAACGUCUAGUCCCACCACACCCCCACGGGUAAUCAGCAGUAAUAAAGUUUGUCUAUAAGCGCCAGCUUAAGUCAGUUAAAGAACAACAGGGCCGGCUAAUCUAGUGCCAGCCGCCGCGGCUAUACCCAGAGGCCCAAUUUGAUAGCCCUCAGCGUUAAGCGUGGUUAAAACCUUAAACUUAUUAGAGUUGAAUCUAGUUAUAGUUGUCUAAAGCUACACUGCUAGAAAAUCAAAAACGAAAGUUGCUCUAACUCUCUUGAACCCACGACAGCUAAGACCACAAACUGGGAUUAGAUACCCCAUUAUGCUUAGCCGUAAAAAAUUUACUUACAACUAAAACGCCCGGGAAUUACGAGCGCAAGCUUAAAACCCAAAGGAUUUGACGGUGUCCCACCCACCUAGAGGAGCCUGUUCUAUAAUCGAUGAUCCACGAUACACCUCACCACUUUUAGCUCUACAGCCUGUAUACCUCCGUCGACAACUUACCGUUUGAGCGCCACAAAGUUAGUUCAACGGCCUCCACGCCAACACGUCAGGUCAAGGUGCAGCCUACAAAGUGGGAAGUAAUGGGCUACAAUUUCUAGUAUAGAACAAACGAACUGCUACCUGAAACACAGCCAUGAAGGCGGAUUUAGUAGUAAAAGAAAGACAGCAAACUUCUUUUAACCGAGCCCUGGGACGUGUACAAACCGCCCGUCACCCUCUUCAACAGCAAAACAAAACUUCUUAAUAUCUAACAGCACACCAGAAGAGGCAAGUCGUAACAUGGUAAGUGUACUGGAAAGUGCACUUGGUUAAAU
rnacentral:rRNA from 1 species